AAACAUUUUAAAAAAAAACAAAAAAAACCUUUAAAAAUUCUCUCAACCUGUCUGUCCUCCAGCCACGGGCCGAUCAUCGGACAGUCAACGGCCACCACGCCGGCCGCCGAUCUCCGGCGCCGGCACCACCGUCUGCGGUGGCCAGGAAAAGGAAAAAAAAUCUUCUUUAGCCUUCUCAACCUCCUUUACCCAAAUCUGGGCUUAAAUCUCGUGAAAUAUUAACGAAAGAACCCCUAAAAGCACUAAAACCUUUCGACUUCCGGUCGUCUUUCAUCGGAGACGACAACCUCCAUCAUUCACGGCGUUCUGGGCUUCGAAACACAGGCGAUUGCAUGGAGAUUCGGCCUUUGGCGAUGGUUGCGGCGCUAUUGAAACCCUAGGGUUUCUGUCUGUAAUUUGGGCCACCGUAGAUUGGGCCCUUAUUUGUUUUAUUAAUUGGGCCAUACGGGUCUACUUGUAAAUGGACUGUUUCUUUUGGGGCCCUUUUUUUACCCGGGCAAAAUCUGUUAUUACACUCCUAUUAAAGUAGAA